rnacentral:rRNA from 1 species
AGAGUUUGAUCAUGGCUCACAACGUACGCUGGCGGCACGCCUAACACAUGCAAGUCGAACGAAGUAGCAAUACUUAGUGGCAGACGGGUGAGUAACAUGUGGGUAUCUGCCCUUUGGCCUGGAAUAACACGAGGAAACUUGUGCUAAUACCGGAUAAGUCUUUACAGAGAAAGCUUUAUGCACCAUUGGAUGAGCCCGCACUUGAUUAGUUUGUUGGUGGGGUAAUGGCCUACCAAGACUUUGAUCAAUAGCUGAUUUGAGAGGAUGAUCAGCCACAUUGGGACUGAGACACGGCCCAAACUCCUACGGGAGGCAGCAGUGGGGAAUCUUGCACAAUGGAGGAAACUCUGAUGCAGCGAUGCCGCGUGAGUGAAGAAGGCCCUUGGGUUGUAAAGCUCUUUCGUCGGGGAAGAAAAUGACUGUACCCGAAUAAGAAGGUCCGGCUAACUUCGUGCCAGCAGCCGCGGUAAUACGAAGGGACCUAGCGUAGUCCGGAAUUACUGGGCUUAAAGAGUUCGUAGGUGGUUGAAAAAGUUGGUGGUGAAAUCCCAGAGCUUAACUCUGGAACUGCCAUCAAAACUUUUCAGCUAGAGUUUGAUAGAGGAAAGCAGAAUUUCUAGUGUAGAGGUGAAAUUCGUAGAUAUUAGAAAGAAUACCAAUUGCGAAGGCAGCUUUCUGGAUCAUUACUGACACUGAGGAACGAAAGCAUGGGUAGCGAAGAGGAUUAGAUACCCUCGUAGUCCAUGCCGUAAACGAUGUGUGUUAGACGUUGGAAAUUUAUUUUCAGUGUCGCAGCGAAAGCGAUAAACACACCGCCUGGGGAGUACGACCGCAAGGUUAAAACUCAAAUGAAUUGACGGGGACCCGCACAAGUAGUGGAGCAUGUGGUUUAAUUCGAAGAUACGCGCAGAACCUUACCAACACUUGACAUGUUCGUCGCGACUUUAAGAGAUUAAAGUUUUCGGUUCGGCCGGACGAAACACAGGUGCUGCAUGGCUGUCGUCAGCUCGUGUCGUGAGAUGUUGGGUUAAGUCCCGCAACGAGCGCAACCCUCACUUUUAGUUGCCAUCAUUUAGUUGGGCACUCUGAAAGAACUGCCAGUGAUAAGCUGGAGGAAGGUGGGGAUGACGUCAAGUCCUCAUGGCCCUUACGUGUUGGGCUACACACGUGCUACAAUGGUAUCUACAACAGGAAGCAAAACAGCGAUGUUAAGCAAAUCCUUAAAAGAUACCUCAGUUCGGAUUGCACUCUGCAACUCGAGUGCAUGAAGCUGGAAUUACUAGUAAUCGUGGAUCAGCGUGCCACGGUGAAUGCGUUCCC